AGAGUUUGAUCCUGGCUCAGAACGAACGCUGGCGGCGUGCUAACACAUGCAAGUCGAACGCGAAAGGGGCUUCGGUCCUGAGUAGAGUGGCGCACGGGUGAGUAACGCGUAGAUAACCUGUCCUGGUGUCUGGAAUAAUAUCUCGAAAGGGGUGCUAAUACCGGAUAUUCUUGCUUUCUAUAAGGUAUGCAAGGAAAGGUGGCCUCUGGAACAAGCUACUGCACGAGGAGGGGUCUGCGUACCAUUAGCUAGUAGGUGGGGUAAUGGCCUACCUAGGCGACGAUGGUUAGCGGGUCUGAGAGGAUGAUCCGCCACACUGGUACUGGAACACGGACCAGACUCCUACGGGAGGCAGCAGUGAGGAAUAUUGCGCAAUGGGGGCAACCCUGACGCAGCGACGCCGCGUGAGUGAGGAAGGCCUUCGGGUCGUAAAGCUCUGUCAAAGGGGAAGAAGUGCAUGGUGGUUAAUAUCUGUCAUGUUUGACGGUACCCUUAAAGGAAGCACCGGCUAACUCCGUGCCAGCAGCCGCGGUAAUACGGAGGGUGCAAGCGUUGUUCGGAAUCACUGGGCGUAAAGGGCGCGCAGGCGGUUUGAAUAGUCAGAUGUGAAAGCCCACGGCUUAACCGUGGAAGUGCAUUUGAAACUGUCAGACUUGAGUACCAGAGGGGAAAGUGGAAUUCCCGGUGUAGAGGUGAAAUUCGUAGAUAUCGGGAGGAAUACCGGUGGCGAAGGCGACUUUCUGGCUGGAUACUGACGCUGAGGCGCGAAAGCGUGGGGAGCAAACAGGAUUAGAUACCCUGGUAGUCCACGCUGUAAACGAUGUGCACUAGAUGUAGGGGGUGUUGAUCCCCUCUGUGUCGCAGCUAACGCAUUAAGUGCACCGCCUGGGGAGUACGGUCGCAAGAUUAAAACUCAAAGGAAUUGACGG
rnacentral:rRNA from 1 species